GCGGCGGCGGCGGCGGCGGCGGCAACGGCCGGGACGAAGCGGCGGCGGCGGCGGCGGCGGCGGCGCGGGGCGCUCGGGCUGAUGGCGGCGGUGGCCGGCCCCGGGACGGCGCAGUCCCCGCGGCCGUGCGACAGCGACCCGGCCACCCCCGGAGCGCCGUCCCCGAAGGAUGAUCAUGAGGAGAAUUCAAACGAUGGGACCCAGCCAUGCAAGAGGAGACGCAUGGGCUCAGGAGACAGUUCCCGCAGCUGCGAGGCUUCGAGUCAGGACCUCGGCUUUAGCUACUAUCCAGCAGAAAAUUUGAUAGAAUACAAAUGGCCACCUGAUGAAACAGGAGAAUACUAUAUGCUUCAAGAACAAGUCAGUGAAUAUUUGGGUGUGACCUCCUUUAAACGGAAAUAUCCAGAUUUAGAGCGACGAGAUUUGUCUCAUAAGGAGAAACUCUACCUGAGAGAGCUAAAUGUCAUUACAGAAACUCAGUGCACUCUAGGUUUAACAGCAUUGCGCAGUGAUGAAGUGAUUGAUUUAAUGAUAAAAGAAUAUCCAGCCAAACAUGCUGAGUAUUCUGUUAUUCUACAAGAGAAAGAACGCCAGCGAAUUACAGAUCAUUAUAAAGAGUAUUCUCAAAUGCACCAACAGAGUACUCAGAAAGUUGAAGCCAGCAGAGUGCCUGAGUACAUCAAGAAAGCUGCCAAAAAAGCAGCUGAAUUUAACAGCAACUUAAACCGGGAACGUAUGGAAGAAAGGAGAGCUUACUUUGACCUACAGACACAUGUCGUCCAGGUGCCUCAAGGGAAGCACACGGUGCUGGCGACCGAGCGCACCAAGGCCAGCCCCUAUCCUGUGGCCCUCAUCCCUGGACAGUUCCAGGAGUAUUACAAAAGGUACUCACCAGAUGAACUGCGGUACUUGCCAUUAAACACAGCACUUUAUGAGCCGCCCCUGGACCCUGAACUCCCCGCCCUGGACAGUGAUGGUGAUUCAGAUGAUGCCGAGGAUGGUGCCGGUGACGAGAAACGGAAGAAUAAAGGUGCCUCGGAUAGCUCGUCUGGUAACGUGUCUGAGGGGGAAGGCCCUCCCGACAGCCAGGAGGAGCCUGUCCAGGGAAGACAGAGAUGCAGGGACAAAGCUGCUACUCCCAGAAAAGAUGCUUCCAAACGCUCUGUACUGUCCAAGUCAGCUCCUGGGUACAAGGUAGAAGAAAAAAGCCCCUGACCAGCCUCCUUCCUGACGUUUUAGCUUUGAAUUCAGAGUUGUGGAGCUCCUGCUGUGCCCGCGAGCUGUUCUGGGGGGUGCCCUCUGUCAGCUUCUGCUUCCUGCUUCAUUUUCCUGGUGGCUUUCUUCUCCCUCUGGCUGUGGUGUAGCUCUGUUUUCUGCAUAUGUACAGUUUACAAGACAAUCUUUUUUUGUCUUUUAAAUGAUAACCAGGCAAGUAUGGGCUUUAAAAAAUUAUUUCAUAGACAGAACUUUAUAGUUUGCUUUCUUGGAGUAAAGAUCAUAAUUGUCUGAUGUUUUAAAUGUGCUAGUAUUUAGUAGAGCUGCACAUGUGAGCUGUGAAGUGUAGGCGGGCACCCUAAUAGACCAAACCAUGUUUCUUUGGUGCCUUUCAUCAGGAGAGAGGGGAGUUCAAUCUGAGCGCUGUUUGAUCCAUGUGCCAAAUUCAGCUAACUCUGAUAGAAAAUUGUGAAACCUGUUACUUACAUUGUUGUGAUUUUUAGCCUAAGCUUGGCAAAUAAUCUAUAUAAUUCUGUGACAAGGAUUUAGACAUUUAGUGAGGUGCGUUGGCUUGGAUACACUGCUAGCUUUUUGACCUGGUUGUUCUCAGUAAGGCAGCUGUGACCAGCAAUGCUGUUGUGUUUAUUGCUUCCUCCUCCUCCUGGCCCCUUCCCCUUGAGGGCUGGGUGAGAGUCGAGUAGCCUUAUUUGCAUAUGGGGAUUUAGGAAUAUCAUAAAAGGAGUGGAAUUAACUGCAUAGUUUUAUGUUGCUGAUGGUUAUAGUAAAACAGUUCUUUGAUCUAGAAUGUAUCAAUAUGCCUUUUACUGUUGUUAUAAAGGUGGUUUGAAGGGAUGUGAUAGAGUCAGGUGGUCAGAAAGUUUUGCUGAGGGAUUUAUUGAAUACCUUGUUGCUUAUCAGGAUUGGAUUGUGGCAGAUAAUCCAGCAGAACAGGUUCCAGUGAGCUGCCAGUCUGCGCCCCUGCAGCGUAACCAGCACCCUUCUAGCAGUAGCUUACCUUUGUUUUAGUGAGGUAAAAAAGGUGACUUAGUAAAUUAGUGUACUCCAUAGGUAAUUAGAAAAUGCUUUCAACUUGAAUAUACAUGCGUUUUCAGCUUGUGGCAAGUAAACCUGACACUUUGUUCAGCAAGGGUUGGCUUCCGAGGAUGGCAUCAAGGCCGCAGCUAUGUGAUUUUUUUUUUUUACUUGUGUUUGCAUAAAUCAGUUGUCUAAUUUUUCAACUGAGGAUUUAAAUUAAGGCUUAAAUGUCAAAAGCAAAUGAACUCCAAAGAUGGAAUUUUGGCCAGUUAGCCUGGUGUGUGCUACAUAUGUUCUGGUCUGAUGAGAGCCUCGUAUGGGGAUGGUGGCUUGAAGCACAUGUCGGUCGGUGUUGAGGAGACCUUUCAGACGUCAGCCCGGGUUCAUCGGGUUCAUAGGAGAGCAUGCUGAAAUAGAGAUUUUUUAAUCAAGGCUGAAAAUAAAGAACUAUUCAGUGCUAUCAUUGAUUUAAUGUGGAAUAAAUCAAGGGAGUCUAAUAUGCAAAAUACACAUUUUAUAAUCUGUGAACAUUUUUGGUACCUAAAAAUGUUUCAGGUUUUCAGAGUUUGAAACAACCAGUAUCUAGACUUGGUACAUUAAUGUGAAUAUAUUUAUUCAAAGUUAACCUCUAUGAAAA